UAAGAAAAAAGAAAUGACAUUUAUACAGCUUUUACCACAAAAUAGUUUGGUGCCCCUGCAAAAGAAUCAAACUUGUUUACUUAUCUUUCUUCAUCUGUAGACUUGUGUCUUGAAAAACCUGUUCCCUAUCAGAGAAGAGUGGGCAGAGAGAGGGAGGGAGAGAGGAGUAGGGGGGUUAUGCAAGUGCGAUCUACUUACAAAAGAGAAGACAAGUUAACAAAUGAAAGAAACAAGUGGAACAAAGGUGAAGAGAAAUGAAAGAAAACUGCUUGUCACUGUGAUAAACGACAUGAGAAGAGACACAAUGAACGGGACAGAUACAAACUGCCAGAAGCGUUAAGAUAUCUGGGCCCAGCUGGGAUGAGCUCACUAACGGGCCAAUAUCAUAUUUCAUUAAUGAGGAGCCACCUGGAGCUCUCAGCCCAACCUGUCCAGGUGCGGGUCCAUUGGUAAGCAUGUGUGAACGCUUGUUUGGAAAGUCCGGUAGUUUUGAGGUGAAGGCUGGUUCCCUUGAGACAGGCUUGCAAAAUGAGGAAUAACGUACUAAUGUCAAUGUUGAGCAGCCAUCUACCCACACACCCACAGAUUCAGGAUUUGAAAACCAAUUUAUGAUGAAAAAACACAUGCAAGUGAAAAAUUUUGUAAUUUACAUGACACAGGCACAUUUUUUUUACAAAGGUACUCACAUGCACCUAACUUGAACUGUCAGUUCUCGUUUUAUAACAAACUUGACAGA